CUUCAUACAACAACCAUAAAUGCUAAUUUGGCCUCGGAUCAUAGGGCAGUAGAUUUUAACCCUGCCCCAAGACGGGUAGUUGGAUAAGGUUGUCCAAUUCCAUCUUUGGCGCCCCCGGGUUAAUUAUAAUUUAAAAAAUCAAAGCAACUAGUGACAGUAACACCUUUCGAAUUAUAACGUAUAGCCGAGUCCAUGCAUUUUAUUUUUCGUCGUUUUUGAAAGUUUAUAAAAGGCAGCCACCUUUCUUUUAAUUUUGUUCAGAUAAAAGCUAAUCUCAUUUAACAUUUUGGGAUUUAACUCAUUUUACAUGCAUGCAUUUUAAUCUCUUAUACAAUUUAUAAUACAAUGAUUUAUAUACAAUCACUAUAUACAAUCAUUUAUAUACAAUGAAUAAUAAAUGAUAAAUGAUUUUUAUUUUAAAUUAAA